GCCCUUCAAGGCCUCUCCAGCUUCUCUCUUGUCCAGACAUAGCUCAUGCAGGGACUGCCCUCUGGGCAGUGUUCACCCCAUGGAGCUGGGCCUGACAACCACUGGAGAGCCCCGGCCCCUGGACCUUGAGAACUCGGCUGGGACCCAAGAGCCACCUUGAGAAGCCUGAGCCCCGUGGCCCUGCUUGUACCCCCAAGGUAGGUGGGGCCUCCCCCUGCCAUUGCCCCU
rnacentral:lncRNA from 1 species